UGCCAGCAGCCGCGGUAAUACAGAGGGUGCAAGCGUUAAUCGGAAUUACUGGGCGUAAAGCGAACGUAGGUGGCAUAAUCAGUCAGAUGUGAAAUCCCUGGGCUCAACCUAGGAACUGCAUCUGAAACUAUUAAGCUAGAGUAGGUGAGAGGGGAGUAGAAUUUCAGGUGUAGCGGUGAAAUGCGUAGAUAUCUGAAGGAAUACCGAUGGCGAAGGCAGCUCCCUGGCAUCAUACUGACACUGAGGUUCGAAAGCGUGGGUAGCAAACAGGAUUAGAUA
rnacentral:rRNA from 1 species